AAUCCUAAGACGCCAAGAGGCAAAAAGUCAUUGUAUGCAUUCUUUGCGCAAACUUGUUGGGAGAAAAGGAAGCAGCGCCCAGAUGCUCCCAUCAACUUCUCAGAGUUUUCUAAGAGACAUGCACCCAGGAGACCUCUUUCGACCUUUCUUCUGUUCCGUUCUAAGUUUCACCCUAAAAUCAAAGUAGAACAUGCUGGCCUAUCCAUUGAUGAUGUUGCGAAAAAACUGGGAGAGAUGUGGUAUGACACUGCUGCAGAUGACAAGCAGCCUUAAGAAAAGAAGGCUGCAAAGCUGCAGAAAAAAUACCCAAAGAAUAUUGCUGCAUUUCAAACUAAAAGGAAAGCCUGAUGCUUUCAAAAAAGGGAGUCAUCAAGGCCAAAAAAAAGCAAGAAAAUAAAGAGGAGGAAGAUAAAGAGGAGGAGGAGGAAGAUGAAGAAGAC
rnacentral:lncRNA from 10 species